AGUGAACGCUGGCGGUAGGCCUAACACAUGCAAGUCGAACGGCAGCACAGUAAGAGCUUGCUCUUACGGGUGGCGAGUGGCGGACGGGUGAGGAAUGCAUCGGAAUCUACUUUUUCGUGGGGGAUAACGUAGGGAAACUUACGCUAAUACAGCAUACGACCUACGGGUGAAAGCAGGGGAUCUUCGGACCUUGCGCGAUUGAAUGAGCCGAUGUCGGAUUAGCUAGUUGGCGGGGUAAAGGCCCACCACGGCGACGAUCCGUAGCUGGUCUGAGAGGAUGAUCAGACACACUGUAACUGAGACACGGUCCAGACUCUGACGGGAGGCAGCAGUGGGGAAUAUUGGACAAUGGGCGCAAGCCUGAUCCAGCCAUACCGCGUGGGUGAAGAAGGCCUUCGGGUUGUAAAGCCCUUUUGUUGGGAAAGAAAAGCAGCAGGUUAAUACCCCGCUGUUCUGACGGUACCCAAAGAAUAAGCACCGGCUAACUUCGUG
rnacentral:rRNA from 1 species